rnacentral:lncRNA from 1 species
GACCUGAAUCCUGCAAGGGGACAGCCAAGCCAGAAUCUGGAGGAGAGUAUCCCUGGCAGGGAAAAGGGACCUGGCUUACAGGAUCAAAAAAACAGUGUGGGCACCUGUGGGCAUGGGAGAGUGACUGACAGAGGGCGACCAUGCAGGGGCUUGAUUUUGAUGAUAAGUGUAGUGGGGAGCUCUGGAGAGCUUUAAACAGGUGUCAUGGUCCCAUGGUAUUUUGGAAAGAUCCCUGUGGUGGCUGGGGUAGGAAGGGCCACAGGGGUGCAAGAAUGGAGGCAGCAGUGAGCAGGUUGGCAGCCAUCCAGGCGAGUGAUUGCCAGGGCCCCCGACUGGGAUGGCUGGCGGAGGAGAGAAAGGAGACUGGUGGUGUUUAGAAGGGAGUUCCUGUGUGGACUUGGACAUGAGGGAGGGAAGAAUUUAGUGUUGAUCUUGGGCCCAAGCAUCUGAGGGAAGUUGUGUGGGAAGCAGGUUUUGAGGAAAGUGAGAAUUUCAUGUUAGAUGUUAGAUUUGAGGUGCCCAUUAUAUACCUGGGUGGAGGGGUCACAGAGGCAGGUGGAACCCCAAGACCCAGGUACCAUUUCCAGUCAGGAAACAAGAUAGAUUUAACACCCAAUUAGUGGUGGAUUAUCUAGGGCAGAGGAGUAGAGAGAGAAGAAAUUGUCUACAGCAUGAACCCCCCACACCCAACUCUGGGUAGGGGUGGAGGUUACCUGGAGGAGUCUGCAAAAGUCCAGCGAAGUGGAAGAAAAAACAGGCCAGAGCAAGGACAUGAGCAGCUGUGUUACAUGGGACUGAGCGGUAAAAAAAAAUGCGGCCAGAAUCUGAACCUUGGCUUGGGCAACACAGUGACAUUGUCAGUGAUUCUGGUAGGUUUCCAAGGUUUAUGUCCUACCUCUUCAAGGCAUGCAAGUGCCGGGCUGAUGGCACAGAUAGUAUAGUUGCUCUAUUGUUGGGAAUGUGUUGACAUGUUUAGAACCUGCUAUCUACUUGAGUAUUGGUGUGUGCCGUGGCUUUGCUGUAUAACCACGUGCAUUGAGAGAUAUGCACCUCGGUUUAUGUGGCACCUGCCUGUGCCUCUGUGAGUGUGAACAUGCACGCUUGUCUGGAUGUGUGCAGGUGCAAAGCCUAGGAUAUGUUUCUGUAAAGCUGUUUCCAUUCAUCUCUGUGCUGUACAGAUCUCUGUGCACCUCUACCCGUAGGCAAAGGCGUGUCUGUGUCUGGGUUGGCAUGGGAUGUGUGUGUUUGCCAUGGGUCAGGUGUGACUCAGCCCUGGGGAAGCAGGUGGCUAUGCUGGAAUAAGGUGAGUAUUGACAGUUGCUGGUCCCUAUACAGAGGGACACACAGUGUCCAGGGUGUAACCUUCCACAGGGGGAUGCAUAGAGCCAAGCCAGGCCUGGUGGGAGAAGUGGCAGUGUUGCCCUAGAGGGUUCUGAGAAGACAGGGCGGCUCCUGGAGGCCCUGGGGAAGGUGCCUGAAACCUUCAACCAGUGUCAUCUGCACAGUCCAUCUGCCCUGUGGCUGCCUGCCUGUCCCUGCCUGCUUCUCCUCGCUUGCCAUCCUGCCUAUAGAUCUGCUCAGCCACUGCUUCAGUCUUGUGGUUGGGAUCCCUCUGCAUGUCUGUCACGGGCCUGUCUCGCUCGUUUCCUGCCUGCAUAUCCAUGUGCUAAUCUCCUUCCUACCACCUCCCAUGUCUCCCCAGAAUUUAGCUACUGCCCGUCAGGUUACCCUCCUGCUGGCUAUUUCUCUCCUAUCUGCCUGGGAGAGUGGGAUUUGUCACUUUAUAAAGCACAGAACGCUCCUAAGAGGAAACCGGAAAGACAGGUCUCCAUGGGAGGUCAAAGGGAUUGAGAUCCAGACUGUGGGGAGGGGCCUCGUGGUGCAGCUUGUUCAGGGACCAAAGCAAAGCAUUGCUCCCUCCCCUUGUGGCCCAGCGGGGGCUGGCUCUGGCUGCUCUGCUGCUGACACUGGUCCUCCCCCAACCACAAUGGUGGGUUUUGGAUGAAGGCAAGAAGGGGCCUCACACAGGGUUUCCUGGGGCCUGCCCAGUGCUCUGCGUGUUUCCACUCCCCCAUCGCCCAGGACAGCUGCUGAGACCAGGGUACAAGGAGAAGGAAUAGAAAUGGAUACUAAGUCCCCUCCUGGUGCCUGAUGCUCCCUGUGUGGUUCACAGCACAAAUCCCAUUUGACAGGAGGAAAGCGAAGCUCCUGCGAUGAAGACCAUGGCUAGUAUACCGACCUUAACAUCUAAUUUAAAAAAACGUAUGAUGGGGCUGGGGUUGUAGCUCAGUGGUAGAGAGCUUGCCUCACGUGUGAGGCACUGGGUUCGAUUCUCAGCACUGCUUAUAAAUAAAUGAAUAAAAUAAAGGUCCAUCAACAAUUAAAAAAUAUAUUUUUAAAAUGUAUGAUGGAUUUUUUUUUGUCCUGUG